GUUUCUUUUACUGUCCUUGUGGGGACCUAAAAUGUAUUUCCAUUCAUUUCCCCUAACUCUUAAUCCUAAUUGUAAACCUACAUUUAUAGUAGUCCUAGUCCUGAGAAAUGUCCCCACGGAGGAUAAUUUCUUGUUAAACUAUCCUUACUAGCCCACACUCCACAGUAGUGUUAGAAUAGUAAGCCCCCCCACACCACAGUAGUGUGUUAGAAUAGUAAGAACCCCACUCCACAGUAGUGUGUUAGAAUAGUAAGCCCCCCCACACCACAGUAUAGUGUUAGAAUAGUAAGCACCCCACACCACAGUCGAGUGUUAGAAUAGUAAGACCCCCAAGGGCCUCCCGGGUGGCGCAGUGGUUAAGGGCGCUGUACUGCAGCGCCAGCUGUGCCAUCAGAGUCCCUGGGUUCGCGCCCAGGCUCUGUCGUAACCGGUCGCGACCGGGAGGUCUGUGGGGCGACGCACAAUUGGCCCAGCGUCGCCUGGGUUAGGGAGGGCUUGGUCGGUAGGGGUGUCCUUGUCUCAUCGCGCACCAGCGACUCCUGUGGCGGGCUGGGCGCAGUGUGCGCAAACCAAGGUGGCCAGGUGCACGGUGUUUCCUCCGGCGCAUUGGUGCGGCUGGCUUCCGGGUUGGAUGCACGCU
ensembl:lncRNA